AUGCAAGUCGAGGGGCAGCAUGAUUGAAGCUUGCUUCAAUCGAUGGCGACCGGCGCACGGGUGAGUAACGCGUAUCCAACCUUCCGCUUACUCGGGGAUAGCCUUUCGAAAGAAAGAUUAAUACCCGAUGGUAUGAUGAGAUUGCAUGAUAGCAUCAUUAAAGAUUUAUUGGUAAGCGAUGGGGAUGCGUUCCAUUAGGUAGUAGGCGGGGUAACGGCCCACCUAGCCGACGAUGGAUAGGGGUUCUGAGAGGAAGGUCCCCCACAUUGGAACUGAGACACGGUCCAAACUCCUACGGGAGGCAGCAGUGAGGAAUAUUGGUCAAUGGACGAGAGUCUGAACCAGCCAAGUAGCGUGAAGGAUGAAGGUCCUACGGAUUGUAAACUUCUUUUAUAAGGGAAUAAAACCUCCCACGUGUGGGAGCUUGUAUGUACCUUAUGAAUAAGCAUCGGCUAACUCCGUGCCAGCAGCCGCGGUAAUACGGAGGAUGCGAGCGUUAUCCGGAUUUAUUGGGUUUAAAGGGAGCGCAGACGGGUCGUUAAGUCAGCUGUGAAAGUUUGGGGCUCAACCUUAAAAUUGCAGUUGAUACUGGCGUCCUUGAGUGCGGUUGAGGUGUGCGGAAUUCGUGGUGUAGCGGUGAAAUGCUUAGAUAUCACGAAGAACUCCGAUUGCGAAGGCAGCACACUAAGCCGUAACUGACGUUCAUGCUCGAAAGUGUGGGUAUCAAACAGGAUUAGAUACCCUGGUAGUCCACACGGUAAACGAUGGAUACUCGCUGUUGGCGAUAUACGGUCAGCGGCUUAGCGAAAGCGUUAAGUAUCCCACCUGGGGA
rnacentral:rRNA from 1 species